rnacentral:lncRNA from 1 species
UUUUUACACGGGAGAAAAAUUCACAGGCAUGGGGGAAGGAAAUUUUGGGGGGAAACAAAAAGAAAAAAAACUAAACCUAAAAAACCCAUCUGCAGCCGCCCCUUCUCCUUCGAAAAAAAAAACCGGCCCCCCUCCCCUUUGAUCUUCUUCUCCCAGCACCAAGCAGCUGCUGCCAUUCCCUUCCGUUGGCCAAAAACAGAGAGAGGAGAGAACCCCAUCCCCCAACGCCAGCUUCCUUCUCCGUUGGCCCGACUAAGGCUCCCUUUAUAUAAAAAAAACCCUUUUUCUCCCCGAGAGCCGCCCCAGACGAUUUUCUUCCUCAGCCACAGCGCUGACCUCUCUUUUUUGAAAAAAAAGGAGGAGCAGGCCGCCUCUCCCUUGGAAAAAGAAAGAACCCAGCGUCGCCUGCCUUCUUUUGAUUUUCCAGCUCCAUUUGGUCUCCCCUCUUUCCCUGUUGAACCGGCUGGCCCCUCUCCCUCACAAAACCCAGAAGAGCGUCAGCCGCCAGCUCUCCUGGCCAAGCUACAGCCGCCUCCCUCCCUUGAGAAAGAAAAUCUAGAGAAACCCCUGCUUUGGGGGGGCUUUUGAUUUCCAGCUUCUUCCUCCCUUCAGCCGGGUAAGUCCCCCUCGUCCUCUGUCAAAAACGAGCCUUCACCCGAACCCCAGAUCAGUCCUUCCCUCUCAACACAGAACAGCCUCGCCCUCAACAAACAGCCCCAUCUUCCUCGACCAGAGAACGGGCAGGGCCGUUCCCCGUCUCUUCAGACCCACGGUCUUCCUCACCGGCAGCAGCAGUCCUUCCUCCAGCGGUGCCUAUAGAAGCGGCCUCAUCUCCGACCGAGAAUCAAUGGCCGGAACUGCAACCAGAGAGAAGCAGAUCCGAAACGGAGAAAAAUGGAAAGAGGCGCAGAUCUGAAAAUAAAGGAAACAAAAUAAAACCGACUGCUUGUGGUUUUUUUUUUCGUUGCAGGUCACGGUGUAAGCCACCACGGGCUGGGAACAGAAGAGAAGGGGAAACCGUUCUAGAGCCCCCUGCUUGCUGGACUUUCCAGCGGCGGCGCGAGAACCCAAGCGCCGCCAGUUACGGUGGCGCGUGGGAGGACGCGCCGCCACGAUUACAGCUCCCACGCGCCGCCACGAUUACAGCAGAUCCCAGAAGGCUUUCCAACAGUUUCUGGAUUUUUUUUUGGGUUUAUUUUGUAAUUUUUAAAUUGUAUUUGAUAUUUUUGUUAUUUUUUUUGUACAUGUAAAAAGGGGAUGUAUAAGAAAAAUAAUAAAAAAAGAGAUGGGUGUGUGUGUGUUUGUAAU